CAUUCUCUCCUCUCUGCCCGAUUCCCCUGGUCGCCUCCCCCCCACGCCCGCCGCCGCCAACCCGAAACCCUAGCUCCCUCCCUCCCUCGCGCGCUCAGAUCCGCCCACCCUCCCUCCCUCUUUGCGCUCAGAUCCGCCCUCCCUCCCUCAAUCUUCGCGCUGGAAACCCUAGCCGCCGGGCCAUGGUGAUAGACGGCGACGACGACGACGGUGGCUACCUUGACGACGGCGGUGCGGCCAGCAGCAGAAGCACCACCAUGCCCUCCCUUCCUCCAACCCUAGCGAUCGGGCCAUGUUGGCGGCGGCCAGAUCCGCAUCGGGACAGGACCUGCUUGUGCUCGUGAGGAGAGGCACGCCAUGGAGCAGCUCGUCAAGGACAGCCAACACAUUUUUUCUCUUGGCCGACCUGCUGCUUGCAUACAUGACAGAUAUGCAUCCAUGGUGAAGUUACUAUAUAAGUAUAGGGUCAAGCACUGCCCCGACAUACAUCCUAUUUUGAGUUUUUCCUCAAAGUCCCAUGGCCAUGUUGCUGGUAGAGUUGGAAGCACCACCCUUGAUUUUGAAAUUGGAGAAGGAAGAUGGAUAACAGAGUUCAGUACAGUAAGGAUGCUCUAUAAUAUAGGAAUCCAGACAAGGACGAUGAGCAAUACAUGACCCCACGGCCGAGCCGAUGACCAACCACCAGGGAAGUGGACAUGUGAAUAAGGGAUGGAGCAGCAACGUUGAUUGGUUGCACGGAGCUACAGUCAACCUGAUGUGGUGUUUUAAUCUCCUUGACAUAGAGAGUAGUUGUGUGUGGUUUCCUUUCGAGUAGCAUAGUUGGAGUUUAGCAUGUGUGUGUAGAGCUGAUGGUCGUGAGGCUAAUUCCGGGAGUAGUACAUGACUGGAAGAUGCCCAGCUAGAUGUGAUACUUUGUGAUGGUUUAAUCUACUUUGUGAUCUCAUAUGCAACACUUUGUGAUACCCUAUGAUAUAUAUAUAUAUAUAUGGACAUUUGCUA